ACUCGUGCCACUAACGGUAGUGGGGGUGAGGCAAAAAGUGGCGAUGGAUGACUUCCCCCACUCUUGCGCUUCAUUAGUCCUCUCUGUCCCUCUAUAUAAUCGUCGCUCUGUCGCUCUAUAAUCGUCGCUCUGUCGCUCUUAUAUCGAACUUUCACACAAUGCG